rnacentral:rRNA from 1 species
AACGCACCUUGCGCUCCUUGGUAUUCCGAGGAGCAUGCCCGUUUGAGCGUCUUGAUAUCAUCAAACGCACCCGCCUUUUCGGCGGGCUUGCGAUUGGACUUGGACGUGCUGCCGGACGCUUUGCGAUCGGCUCGUCUUGAAUGCAUUAGCGGGAUCCAGUCGGCCUCGGACCCACGGCUCUCACUCGGCGUGAUAAGAUCACCCGUCGAGUCGUCCCCGGCCCGCGUUUGCGGAUCCGCUUCCAACCGUCCCACCGCGGACAACACGGAGCAACGGCCCUGCCGCCUUCGACGUCUGACCUCAAAUCGGGUAGGACUACCCGCUGAACUUAA